rfam:Aedes albopictus isolate Foshan contig35090, whole genome shotgun sequence.
CUUCUCGUGGCGUAGCGGCAACGCGCCUGUCUAGUGAGUAGGAGUCGUGAGUUCGAGUCUCACCGAGAGGA